rnacentral:rRNA from 1 species
CAAUAGCGUAUAUUGAAGUUGUUGCGGUUAAAAAGCUCGUCGUUGGAUUUCUGUUGAGGUCGAACAGUGCCGCCCUAUGGGUGCGCAACUGGCUCGGCUUCGGCAUCUUCUUGGAGAGCGCAUCUGCACUUAACUGUGUGGAUCGUACUUCAAGUCAGUUACUUUGAGGAAUUGUGAGUGUUUCAAGCAGGCUUACGCCGUUGAAUCCGUUAGCAUGGAAUAAUGGAAUAGGACCCUGGUUCUAUUUUGUUGGUUUUGAGGACCAGAGUAAUGAUUAAUAGGGAUAGUUGGGGGCAUUCAUAUUUCAUUGUCAGAGGUGAAAUUCUUGGAUUUAUGAAAGAUGAACUUCUGCGAAAGCAUUUGCCAAGGAUGUUUUCAUUAAUCAAGAACGAAAGUUAGGGGAUCGAAGACGAUCAGAUACCGU